AGCUGCACUACAGGCACAGCCCAAAUGGAAUCACUGCUAUGUGGUACUACUGGCACUGCUUUGGUAUAAUGAUACUUCAAUAAAAGAAUCAAAUAAAUAUAAGUGAUUGAGACAUACACACAUGUAAGAACGGAAUUGGAAUUGCUGGAACCAACCAGCUUUUUUUCUGCACAAGCAAAUGGUUCAUGAAAACAUACUAGUUUCAGAGAUUGCACAAAAUCUCUAAUCUCACUGAGUGCUUAUCUGACACAUUCAGACUGGGAAUCAUGAGGAUCUGCUAUUAAAGUCUUGGAUUUCAACUUCAAUGUAAGCAAAUUUCAAACCUUUCAGCCAAUUCUACGUGUCAGCAAAUGUGACAUCAUUUUGCGCAUUGAAUAGGAUCAGACCUGACAAGACUCAAAGAUUUAAUCCAUCAAGGUAUAUUUCUAUAACAACAUGUCUUGAAAGAAGGUUGCAUGUUUUCAGAAAGAUCAGAUAAACCAAUAUACCAGUGUCAAACACCUGCACAUUCUGGAGAUGAUACAGAGACCUACAUUUAAAAACCAUUCUCCAAGCUCUAUAAUAUGUCUCAGGAAUAAUAACAAUCAUAUGUAAAUAUGAUAUAUGAAAUAUAUAGUAUAUAAUUAAUAUAAAAUAUAUAAUGUAGACGUGUGAUAGAUACAGAUAUUAUAUAUCUAUAUAUAGAUGUCAUGAGCCCUUCCUGUUCAUUUAAGAAGCAUAUUACUAUUCAGUUUAUAAUUGUUCCAGUUCUAUUAAUCACAUUCAGCCCAUUUUUGUAUGGGGACAGAGCACACACAGCUCUCAGGAGAAUGAGGCUGGUGGUUGCUUCACGUGUUGGCUUUGAAGAUUGCAUCCCUUCGUUGUUAACACUGCAUUUAUUUUUUUUACAAGACAUACAAGCCCUCAAAACAGCUAAUUCUGCUCUCCUGGACAAAGCUCCCAUUCGUGUUGGUUGUAUGUACAAUCAUCUUCAUUGUUUUUUGAAGUCUGUAUGCUUAUGGCCUAGUAAGUCAUCUGUUUUACCACUGAUUCCUUUGGAUGUUGAAGAGAGGAAAACAUGAGAAAAACAAUUCUGUAGUUUAUGAUUAAAAAAAUCAAUCAAUCAAUAAUGAAAGCACAGUCAUGAAUAUGAAAGUGAUGAGGAAAUUUAGACAAGGAGUUGUUUAUGUAAUAGGUUCAUGUUGUUACCUGCAGGUGUAGCGCUCCUUGCCCUUGCGCAGGAGGGUCUCAGGCAGAGCACUUGGUGGGGCUCGGAAGUUGAACAUGGAUGGCAUUGACUGGAUCAUCUCAUUGGCCUCUGGCUUCAAGGCACUGAAACUCUCCAGCUUUUCGGCCAUGUUCUCUAUAGCUGACAUCUGCAAUGGAAGAUGGCACAACAGCCGGCAUGGUGAGGACCGCCGUGGCUUUGUGUCUGUGGUGAAAAUGCUAAGCAUAAAGGGCACAGACUUCCAAGGAAACAGACUAAAUAGCAAAUGUAGAGCUGCAGUCACAAAAACUACUGGGCAGAGUAGGCAAUGUGGUGGCUAUGAUGAUGGCUCUCUCAGAGUAGUCCCCAUAACUGCUUCAAUGGGUUGUGUUCCUCUGCAAGACCAGCACACAGCAGAACUGCUCUAAUGGCUACAGGUAUAGCUGCUUCUAUACAAAGUCUAAAUUAGCCAGUGUUCAUUUAAUGUUAUUUUUAAGCCUCGACAUCUACAGAAAUAGAGCUGUGCAGCCACACUCAGUGGGUGUGUAUGAGUGUGCAGCCUAUCUACUGACACCAUUGGCCUCUUUAGACCAAAUCAAUAGAAGAAAUAGAGAACUCAAUAAGAGACGAAUUUCUACUUUCUCUCUCUCUCUUUUUUUUUUAAUUAUGGACUUGCAGAGGAUGAAUAUCUCAAAGGACAUAAAGCACUCCAGCUUAACUAGUAGAUGCAACAAGCAGAGAAGCUCCAUCAGUGCCCCAGCCAAAUCCAAGCAUUCAGUCAAAUCUUCUUGCAGAUCAGAGUGAAAUGCCAUGACAUAAAUCCAUCAGAAAUGAAGCUCUGGUGGGUUUGGUGCUAUUUAUUCAUUCACAUUACCCACUAGAUGCCUAUCAGGUUUUCUUACAACCUCUUAAUAUUCCUAUUCCGCUUUCUGUUGCUUGUAAACCCCACACACUCUGGGAUACUGCCUUUUCCUGUAGCUGUAUUAAGGGGCUUUAAUUUUCAGGGAGGAGCUAUUAAAAAAUUUCUGGAGAUUGUUUCCCUUCAAAGUGUCUGAAAUUGACCAGAAGAAAUGGCUCCAAAACUUCCAACAUUGUCACGUGAAGGGCUGAAGACUGCUGCUGAGCCUCCUGACAGGUAAAAUAGCAGCCUGCCUCCUACUGUCACCAUUAACAAAUGGAAAAAUAAAUAAAUAAACAAUAGAAAUGCAAGGCCUGCACUUAAAAGAGGUGUGCACAGUGGAGGUUCCAUGCCAUGAACAUACAAACUGCUCCAUCAUAAACCACAGCAUUAAUCAAAUGCUAUCUAUCAGAACACCUCUGCAGCCCAUUCUUCAAGGACCACUCCAAUUUUUUUGCUGUUAUUUUAACAGGAAGAACUGCAUGUUUGUCUCUGGACAGGGUCCUGCAGGUGCUGGCUAGCUCUGGCUUUGAUCUUUCUUUUCCCUUUAGCCCACAGCCUGCCCUCUCAUUUCAUGCUCAGACUCCUAAUGCUGAGUACAAAUUGCAAUGUACAGAGUACCACUGCCAAUUUGCCAAAUGUCUUUCAUCAAACACACUGCAAAAAAAAAAAAAUCUCAGAGGGAAGUCAAGAUACAUUUACUUGUCAGGCAACAAAUGGGAAAGCAUUGCGAGGCAGUAGGGGCUGUAAGCUCUGGGGUUUGAUUCAUAAUCACUCAGCUGCUAAAACAUUCUCCACAGAUGCAAGUGGACAGCACAUUUGUCAAUAUGAAGGAUUUUGACAUGUACUGAUCACAGGCAUGAGAUAUGUAAUGAUGAUGCUGCUGGGAGAGGAGGUAAUUCUAUCUCGGCAGAGAGAUGUCAUUAUCAACCCAUAUGACUCAACAUUACCAUAUAUUUAUUUUUAUAGGACUUCAUAUUUUUCUGCGGUAAGAAUUGAUUCUUAAACCUUUUCUAAUAGUUUUUCCGCUGCCUGUAACUCCUUCUAAUUGUUCCCUGCAAGAAAUCAUUUAUCAGUUUUGCAAUUGUGGGAAAUUAAUGGUUUGAAUGAAAAAUGACCUUUGGCCUUCAGGCUGAUUAGCAAUGACAAGACAGUGUAUGGGUUAUGAUAGCACAUAUUUAUAGUGAAGAAUAAGGGCAUCGAGAAGUAUAGUAAAUGUCUUAUUUAUGUAUAUUUAAUAUUCAAGUCAGUUUCAUUAUCUAGUGGUUUUAAAUCAUUUUUGGGUCAUCAUUUCUCACGUACGUGGUUCCCUUCCGUAAUAUAUUAAAGCAACUAUUUUCCCCUUUACAUUUAAAAUGGCUUAGUCAUGCUUAUUUCUUUUUAUUAUCUCCAGGAUUUUGCAGAGCAGAAAUGGAGAAUGAAUCUUCUCUCAUGUACAGUGCUAUAGGUCAGUACCAGCCCCUCUCUGCCACCAGGACUACAUCAGUCCUGAAACAGAUAAUUAUUAAUCCAGAAAGCUUUCCCCGUUCUGCAGAGCUUCUUUAGGAGCAAUCAGUGAGAACCCCUCCUUCAGCUGAAACACAACCCAAGCAGCGUUUACUCCUCCAAAACCCCAAGCUUCCAGAGCAAGCUGCUACAGCAUCAGUCUCAGUAGGGUGCUUUGCUCCAGGGACGGUCCUUGCACACCACCAGGGAUGGAAGCUUUGGGGGAUCUGAGCCCCAGCAGGCACCCAGGGCUGCAGCCAUCCCGCAGUGGGCACAGGGAGGAAGGCAUGACCCCAAGGAGGGGAUUAGCGUAAUUGCCGCGUCCAUGGAGAAAGCCCUCAGAGGAGGCAGGAGAGCAAGGAGGUCCCAUUACAUAUUUUACACUGCAGUUAUGGCCUUACAGACAAGUCAUGUCUGCUCCUAAUCUGAGAUCAGUGAGUGACAGCGUUUUAUAGGGAGCAGUAACUUUUGAUUUACAUAUAGGAGUUGUUGAUUCAAUCUACGUCCAGAUGUCUGGAAAAGGAAGCAGCUUCCCCCCACCUCCCUCCUGCUCCCUGAGAGCCCAUUAACCUCCUACUGACGCAAACUAAUAUGUAGUCACAAUUCCCCAGCUCGGACUCAGAAAUGCAGACAUUACCAUAAUCGGCUAAAACAAGUAUUUAUAAACAUUUCAAUGGGCAAGAUACCAUCAGCAGGGGUCCUGAAUAUUUGUCUUAAAAUUUAUUAACCAACCACAGAGAAAGUGUCAUAAAUAAAGCAAGGUUUGUUGUUGCUGCUUUUUAAGAAUAACCUGAUGAUAUGAAAUAAUCUAGCAGACAAUGUCAUCAAUUACAUGACCUAAUGUUUUACUAACUAGACUCCUUCGACGCUACUAUCAUAAAAACAACUGACUUUAUGGUCACAACUCAUGGGAAAAUAAUUGUUCAAAUGUUUGCUUUCUAUUUUUACUACUGUUAUUUAGGGAAAUCUUGAAAACCCAACUACUGAAGUUCAGAAUUUCUUCCUCCCCGGUUCAAGUCAUGCUGCUCUCUCUAAAAAUUACAACUUGUGAAUUGGUUGUAAUGUAUCUGGCCAUCCAGCCACUUGGCUGAGCUGUGCCGUGCCCAAAGACCUUGCACACGUGGCUGAACUCUAUGGAGGAGCUGUGAGAAACUCCAGCUGAUCUCCAGCUCAGACCCACAAAAACUCUACUUGGGUUAAUGUUGUUGGUGAGCACUUGGCUAAUCUAACAGAAUGGAUCAUGCCUUAAAAUACACCCUGUAAAAUAAAAGCUUUGUUAAUGUACUCAUUAAAUUUCUUAUCAUUUAUUUUUAAAUUACUUUAAUUACUUAACAAUUAUUCUCCACACAAGUAUUGCAAAUAAGAUUUGAAUCUCAUUAGAGAGUUUCUUUAUAGCAACCUUCUCUUGAUGGGACCAGCGGGGAAUGAAAAAGUUCACAGACUAAAUAAAUUGUGGUCCCACUCAAGAGAGGAUGCUCCCCAUUGAGUCAGACUACAGCAUUCCUGCCAAACAAUGAGAAACUAUGUGAAAUAAUCUUGAAAUAUGUGGCACAGGCAACUGUGAGUUGAGACAGAAAGGCAUAUGUGACGUUCACAUUUCUCAAGAUGAAGAUUCACUCAUGAAUCAGCAUCCUUGCAAGGCACUUUAUGCCUUACAUACUUACUGCUGCUGCAGUUGCUCAAGCACUAGCAUGGCCUGGAGAUGCACACUCACACAACAAAAAAAGGACGAAGGAAAUCCAAAGACCAAGCCAAAGCCAAAGAAGGUAGACAGAAGAAACAGGCUGCACUGGGGUUUUCAGCUUCCCAAAUUUCCCCAAACAGAGCAUCUCUGAGAUGCAGGGUGUACAGGCCAAAUCACAUCUCAGCACGGGCUCUGGAUAUGGCUGCACUGAACUGCUGCAAAGAGGAUGCUUAGGAACUCCUCUUGUGCGCUCCAAGCCUGGCACCUGACCCGAAGUCCUAGGGGCUUGUCAUCUGCUUGUGUAGGACUAGUGAUGGAAAAUCCCUGCCAGCUUUCCCUUUGGUUGUUUUACUGGUUUUCACUAAGGCCAGCAUCGCUGCAACGGGGUUUUGGGUACAGACAUUCCCACAGCUCCAGUUACCUCUCUGUGACUGAGCUCAGUUGGGAUCUGUGCUCAGGAUCUUAGACUCAGGAUUAUAAAAACUAACAUUUUGAAAAGACAAAAUGGGCAUCUCAAGCCACAUGUGCACAAAGCAAAGCUCCAUCGCUGCCGUGGAGGAGAGCAGGGUGCAGACAUCCCUGGGACCCAUGCAUGCAGGCUGGAGCACAUUGCCAUCUCUGUUUGGGAAAUCCUGCCUUCACCUUGUGCAAUCAGCCCACGUCCCAGCGUGAGCCAUAAGCAAGCAUGAGUCAGUCCCAGCUCUUCCCUUCGAGACCCACAGCCAUGAGGUUGGGAAAAAUCUGGGACAAGUAUUUAUGGGUUCAGCGAUAGAGGAGCAAAACUCAGUGCUAUUUCACUUGCAUCUGCAAAAGCAGUUGCUGUGGCUCUUUUUUUUUUUUUCUUUUUCAAGAGCAAUUUAGAUGUAUUAAAAAUAAGUUUUAUAAAAAUAGAAGAGUCUGCUUGAAUGUAUCCCAGUUACUAAGAGCAGAAGUUCUGUUCACAUGAGGGGGACUCUGUGUAACUACCCGCACAGGACAAGUUCGAUCUCAGCACUGCAAAUAAAUGGGUGUUUUAUUUGGGCUUGUAGAAUAGCAAUUAAACUCCAAACUUCAAAGCUAUUGAAGUGACUGACUCCCACUGAAGUCAAUACGAGAUACAAAGUGAAGUCCUCCAAGGCUCUGUGUUUUAAUAUCUAGUACAUACAUUAAAUAUUUCUAACUCUUGCAAGCUAACAAGAUUUCAGCCUGAAAAUUGUCAUUAUAAUCUCUAAAGGAAACAGCUUGGAACAUUUUCAGUUCAAUAUAAACAAAGAGCGCAUUCUGAAACUCUCACUUAGGUAAAGCUCCCAUUGCCAUCACCAAAUAAAAGCUGCAGGAUUAGAUCAGUGAAAGUAAAGCCAAUUGGACAUCACACGGCACUUACCCGCUACAGCGCUCUGUGGGAAAGUGUGGUGUGCUCUGUAAUUGUGUGGUAAGUUAUCCUUCAUAUUAUAUUUUUCUUAUGCAAUUUAUUUCACAGUGAUUAAAUCAAAAAUAUAAGCAUGAACUUACCCAAAUUCUUUGAUCAGGCAAUUGGAACUGGGAGCAAAAUUGAAACAAAAACAACACAUUAUUCCUGCGCUGGAAUCCUCAUUGCAAUCAAACCACUAAUUAAGAUCUUAUUUAAAGAUACUAAUUAAGACAUUAUCCUGAACGAUUUGUUACACUGGGGCAUUCUCUCUCUAAAAAGGCAAUCCUUGUUACAGCAAAUUAUUGUGAACACACAGUUAUCUGCCCCAGUCUCUCCCAGCUUUGGGGUCACCGGCACUGGGAGGGUUCUGCCCAGGCAGGGACAGGAUAAGGACAGCAGGGUUUAAAACUUCCAUCUCUACUCCAAAGCCUAUUUUAAUGAUUAUUAAAUAAUCAUCCUAUUAUUAUCAUCCUGCUCCUAUUAUCCAGUUUAAAGAAUGAAGUUAAACUUCUGGUUAAACUCAGUUCAAUCAAACUAUGUAAGAAACAAAUUCACCUCCAGAAAUACACAUUUGUAGGACACGAAUGAUGAAAAAUAUUUUGUUUCUAUCUUACAGAGACAGAACCUGCCAGCAGAAAAUGAAAAGUUACCAGGCAGUCCACACCUGUACUUUACAGGGGUGAAUGGAGCUGUAAAACAAAAGCAGCUUUUCUGCAAGGCAUUCCCCAGCCCACUAUAAACACCGAGCCGAGCUCUGCUUUUGCAAACAGGAGGCUCCCUUUUAUUAAAGUCAGCCAGAAAGCAGAUCUGGACAUUUGCUUUUUUGACAUGACAUGAUGGUGAUUUAGUUUUCUUUUACAGUGUAUUAAGAGUGCACAUAACGCUCAGGGCUUUUGCAUCCACCAAUCUCCCAAGAGGUUACCCUAGCAGACAGGUAACUGGUAACACGAAAGCCACUCUUUAACACGGAAUUAUUUUCUAUUGCAAAUGAGAAAUGAGGAGGAAUGGGCCAAGAGGUGCAACGCAGCCAUCUGUGCACACAACGGGAGAACCCUGCAGUGGCACUCAGCAGUGGAAGCCCAUCCCUGCUGGCCCCAUGGCACAGAGAUGGCCCCCUGACACGGUGACAACACUGGCACUGUCCUCAUGCACCAACACAGUGGGGCAGGUCCUGCCCACUGACAGCAGAGCACCCACUGCUGUUGCCAUUUCACCACGUUAACUUCUCCCAGCACCCUACUGACCCUCCUCCAGGUCCCCUUGGCUACAUAAAGCAGCACCCAACUCCUUCCCACCCCAAACAGCCUCCUAGCAGGGCAGUUUGGCACAAGCAGCCUCCUUCCAUGCCACCAACCACUGGCAUCAUCACACCACCAUGUGCUGAAAUUCACAGAGUCCCUCAAACCCAGUUUAACUGAACAACACAGGUGCACACCUGAAGAUCCAUCAAGGACUCAGCAAAAUUCUAUCAUUUCUUCCACCUUAUAUAUCUUCAUUUAAAUAAUUUGCCAUUCAUUACAACCAUUUAUCUGCUCUAACAGGAUCACUCAUUUGAUGGAGAGGAAUCAGCUCAGUCUUACACCAGGGAACACAAGGAGGAUUCAGGCCCCAUUUGGGCACUGGCGCAUUAGUCCUGUCUGCUACAAAAUGGGAAUUUUCACUUGUCGCUUUGCAACUCUGGCAAAAAACAUAACUCAGCACGAGGUGCUGAGCUGCUAUUAAAUCUUGUACAUAAAUUCUCCACAAUUUUAAUACUUAAUAGACCCUUCACUUCCUACAGGCACUGGAACUGAAAAGGGCUGUUUUGCUGCACUCUCCUCUCAUGGAAGAGCAUUACGACUGCAUACCUGUGACUAUAUAUGCCAUCAUCUGUCCUUCCCAGCUCUCCAGAAGUCCCAUAUUUCAGAACAUGUUCCAUACAACUUAAGACAUUAUAACUAUUGUUCUCAUUGAAGGAAAAAAAAAAAGACUCAUAAAUUGUUGUUAUUCAGCAAAUAAAAAGCAUGAUUAAGGCCUAUUAAUGAGGCAGCAGCUCUAGUAUAGCAUGGCUUCGGGCAUGAAGGCAAAGGGAUCCUACAAGAUCACUGCAAGUGACUACUGCCUAAAAGAGAUGGUGUGUUUGCAUUAGGAGGCCUGAAUGCACUGGGUAGAAGGUGUUAUCUCCUUUCUUGGAUUCCUUCAAUACUGACAAAAACAACAGAUCUUACAAGAGCAGGCAAAUAGCUGGAAGCCCUCCGCUUUCUUGCCCAGCCUUGAAUCUACAUCAACUCCCUGGAGGUAAUAUGGACUCCACCACAACGGCCCUGAAGAAGACAGGGCAGCUGCAAGUCCUGGUGGUUAUGUUCUGGUUUUGGAAGAACACAGUUCUCAAACAUGCAUGUAGUUUGAAUCUGGCUUCCUCUCUAAUCAAAACAUGUUGUUUCAUCUGCAAAACAUCAAGAAGCUCAGAACAAUGCUUACGCUUUUCCACCACAAUGGCGAAGCAAAAACUUUGUGCUUUAGGAAAUCCAAAAAUGACUAAGGCUGCAUUCAUUUAUCUGCACCUGCUUUGAAGCAUCAACAGGCUUGUUUACAACACUGAAAUUCCCAAAAUACUUACUUGUGGAUGAAACAAGAAUCCCGGGGAAGGUCUCAAGUAUUUCUCUUUUAAAGCUUCAAGUGGGUCAGUUAACUUUCUUUUCUCUACUCUGCAAAUGUUAAAAUUAGAUUUGCUUAUGAUGAAUCAGUCUCAGACAUUAAUAAUUAUACAGCUACUCAUGUUUAAAAUGUUCAGUUACAUAGCAGGCAAUUUGUUUCUCGGAGGUAAUGGCCAAAGAGAAGAGUACGUCAGCUCCCAGUUCCUGCACACGGCCCAUUGCUAUGGUGGGGGCUGUGAAUUGCCAUUAAAGGCAAUGGUGCUAUUUACAGAGGAAGUAAUUCCGCUUCAAAAUACCAGUAAUUAUGACAGUAAGAACCAGUGACUAAGUACUGUGGACUUUCAUGAAGAAAUAAGGCAACCAAGCGUGUUCUUCAGUUGGGAGAGUAGAACUGAAGGCAACAGGAGCUCUGAGCUGACGUGCUGCCCAUGCAAGACCUUGCUGCGACCAGUGAUCCUGCUGUCCUAAUGCAGGUGUAACUCAUAGCAAAGGAAGGCCCGGUAACAACCUCAUGCUAUGGUGCCACAGUUUCUAUGGAUCAUGUUAGUUUGUAGCACAGGACCAUGAAACACUUCGGGCAUUUAAAGACACAAAGAGAAACUAUGGUCCAAUACAGAUGUCAAACUGGCAUAAGUAGAAUCAUCUCAAUAAACAACAUCUAAUUACAUUUCUUCAAAAUCAA